AUAGACCUCUGAAUGACUUAAAUUAACCAAUCACAAUCCAGUACUUACCGAAGUCAUGGUAGAAUCUGUCAUGGCCUGACAGCUUAACUAUAGUAAUAUGAACACAUUCAGUGGUCCUCAAUUUCUCUUGAGUAGUUUAUACUGAGACCGAGAUCCAUCUUGGAAAAGGAUCUGUGCGAGUCUGUUUUUAUCAUCUUUGCACCACAGUUAAGUGGUAUAUCACAAACUCAUUAGAGUGGUAGAAGUACAUGAAACAGGUGAUUGUAAUGGCUGUAGUAUGGACUUCAGUCAAAGCGAUGGUAGCACUAGGAUGAUCAUUACUCCCAUACUUUAACAAAGCGUUACGACUGUUGUAGCGCUACGUUCGCCUUGAGGAACAGGGCCCUGGGCAUAUUUCUACUCAUGUUCAACACUUGGUUGUGGCUGUUGUACCUCAGUGACAGUUAAUGUUCAGACCGUAUUGUUUGGUUUCUAUGUAGAAAGAGGCCCAGGUACUAAUUAUGAAUACAGUAUUGUACAUGUUCAGCAUCCCCUGUGAUCCUUCAGUAAUUUCACAGUCAACACUGAAAACAGUGUAAAGUAAACUACAAAACUGAUAUUAAAUUAGGACAUAUUACCUGACUGGAAUGGAGUUGAAUUGUCUAAAUACAUAGUGGUACAGUGUUCUUAAAACCCCUCAUGUCUUCUGCAUGCUCUUUGUGAUGGAACACUAAGGUUGUUAGUUGUGUUUCUGUGGUACAUCAUUUCCCUAUUUAUAUGUAGUUCCAGGAGAGAUCCUGUUUAUGGGAUGUAGACGAGGCUGGACAUUUGACAAUUUGUCAGCAUCUGAGGUACUGUCUGAGAAUUUCAUCCUUUGAUAUUAUAUAGGCAGUAGAUAUUGAUGAGUUCCAUGUACUUGUGAGUCUUCAGCCAAUCCUUGUGGUUCAAACAGAUAGGAUAAGUCUAGUCAGUUUAUUGUAUGUUAAAGACUUAAACAUCAUUACUAUUGCAGAGACUACUUUUGAUUGUUAUAAAAUGUUCAGUUAUAAUUGCCAGAUUUGAGGGGGGACACAUGGAAAUCAGUUUUCUCCCUUGCCCAGAUCAGGAUUUGAAUCCCAGUCAACCUGAUUAUGAUCCUUGGUUUGUCAGCACCAUGUUCAUCAUCGGUUUUACCCAGGUCAGUAACCUUCAUACCUUCAUGCUGUUCUACAACAUGGUAAUUCUGUUAGGAGCAGUGUGAAUCUGGAUAAAAGUCAGUACCAUGUCCGUCACUGGUGUUGAUUGACUGACCUUCAUACCUUCUCUUCUACAACAUGGUAAUUCUGUUAGAAGCAGUGUGAAUCCGUUGAUAAAAGUCAGUAGGAACCAGACCAAGAUGGUCAUCUCCUGCUAUGCAGACUUGUCCUCAUGCAGGCUUAUGGAGGCUGUUUGUCAUGCAGAUUUGUCAUGCAAGAAUGUUGUGAUCACUUGUCAUGAAGGCUCUUGACAAACUUGUCAUUAUCACAUGUCAUGCAGACUUUUAGCAGGUCUGUCAUGAUCACCUGUCAUGCAGACUUGUCACAAGUCUGUCAUAAUCACCUGUCAUGCAGUCUUGUCACAAGGUCUGUCAUGAUCACCUGUUAUGCAGACUUGUCACAAGGGCUGUUUGUAUUCCUGAAAUUCAGAGAACCUAUCAACAGCUGCUAAAUAUCCUGUUUGAUGAGACACUCACCACUGUUGAGACUCCCUGUGCUGUGUUACUCAGUGCUAGCAUGCUUUCUCUGUUCCACAUGUUGUUUAGGUUUAUCUGUGAGCCUUUUACUCUUCAUACAACCCUUCUACAGCUUCUAUGUGUCUGUCUGGCUGUCGUUCACAUACAUCUUGCUGAGAGGUCUGUGUGCAAUGUUAGUGUAGCGUCUCAGCAUAUCAAUGACUCAUUGUAAUCGAAGAUGUUUUAGCGAAAAGGUUUUAAUGAUGUAAAUUGAAAUUUGAUGUAGAAAAUCAAGGCUGUAGAUAUUUUAUCUACUGAAACUGUAAAUGUCAAUAAAUCAUAAACUUGA